rnacentral:lncRNA from 1 species
GGGGUUUUGGCACCACGACCUUCGGGCGCUUAUUUUUCGGUGCGGCUUUGCCCGCGGCUUAUUUUUGGUACCCCGAGGCCCCUCGCAAAGUCUCGCCCCAUUCCGAGCCCGGCGGACGAACUUCGCCCGCGCCCCCCACCAAGGCUAUAGCCCACCCGUUUUUUGGCCAUUUUUCCGCUGGGGGGUUUUGGAACUACGACCUUCGGGCGCUUAUUUUUGGGCGCGGCUUUGCCCGCGGCUUAUUUUUGGCACCCCAAGGCCCCUCGUAAAGUCUGCCCCAUUCCGAGCCCGGCGGACGAACUUCGCCCGCGCCCCCCACCAAGGCUAUAGCCCACCCGUUUUUUGGCCAUGUUUCCGCUGGGGGUUUUGGCACCACGACCUUUGGGCGCUUAUUUUUCGGCGCGGCUCUGCCCGCGGCUUAUUUUUGGCACCCCGAGGCCCCUCGCAAAGUCUCGCCCCAUUCCGAGUCCGGCGGACGAACUUCGCCCGCGCCGCCCACCAAGGCUAUAGCCCACCCGUUUUUUGGCCAUUUUUCCGCUGGGGGGUUUUGGAACUAGGACCUUCGGGCGCUUAUUUUUGGGCGCGGCUUUGCCCGCGGCUUAUUUUUCGCACUCCGAGGCCCCUCGCAAAGUCUUGCCCCAUUCCGAGUCCUGCGGACGAACUUCGCCCGCGCCCCCCACCAAGGCUAUAGCCCACCCGUUUUUUGGCCAUUUUUCAGCUGGGGGGUUUUGGCACCACGACCUUCGGGCUCCUAUUUUUGGGCGCGGCUUUGCCCGCGGCUUAUUUUUGGCACCCCGAGGUCCCUCGCAAAGUCUCGCCCCAUUCCGAGUCCGGCGGACGAACUUCGCCCGCGCCCCCCACCAAGGCUUUAGCCCACCCGUUUUUUGGCCAUUUUUCCGCUGGGGGGUUUUGGCACCACGACCUUCGGGUGCUUAUUUUUGGGCGCGGCUUUGCCCGCGGCUUAUUUUUGGCACCCCGAGGCCCCUCGCAAAGUCUCGCCCCAUUCCGAGUCCGGCGGACGAACUUCGCCCGCGCCCCCCACCAAGGCUAUAGCCCACCCGUUUUUUGGCCAUUUUUCCGCUGGGGGGUUUUGGAACUACGACCUUCGGGCGCUUAUUUUUGGGCGCGGCUUUGCCCGCGGCUUAUUUUUGGCACCCCGAGGCCCCUCGUAAAGUCCGCCCCAUGCCGAGUCCGGCGGACGAACUUCGCCAGCGCCCCCCACCAAGGCUAUAGCCCACCCGUUUUUUGGCCAUUUUUCCGCUGGGGGUUUUGGCACCACGACCUUCGGGCGCUUAUUUUUCGUGCGGCUUUGCCCGCGGCUUAUUUUGGUACCCGAGGCCCCUCGUAAGUCUCGCCCCAUUCCGAGUCCGGCGGACGAACUUCGCCCGCGCCCCCCACCAAGGCUAUAGCCCACGACCCGUUUUUUGGCCAUUUUUCCGCUGGGGGGUUUUGGCACCACGACCUUCGGGCGCUUAUUUUUGGGCGCGGCUUUGCCCGCGGCUUAUUUUUGGCACCCCGAGGCCCCUCGCAAAGUCUCGCCCCAUUCCGAGUCCGGCGGACGAACUUCGCCCGCGCCCCCCACCAAGGCUAUAGCCCACCCGUUUUUUGGCCAUUUUUCCGCUGGGGGGUUUUGGAACUACGACCUUCGGGCGCUUAUUUUUGGGCGCGGCUUUGCCCGCGGCUUAUUUUUGGCACCCCGAGGCCCCUCGUAAAGUCCGCCCCAUGCCGAGUCCGGCGGACGAACUUCGCCAGCGCCCCCCACCAAGGCUAUAGCCCACCCGUUUUUUGGCCAUUUUUCCGCUGGGGGUUUUGGCACCACGACCUUCGGGCGCUUAUUUUUCGGUGCGGCUUUGCCCGCGGCUUAUUUUUGGUACCCCGAGGCCCCUCGUAAAGUCUCGCCCCAUUCCGAGUCCGGCGGACGAACUUCGCCCGCGCCCCCCACCAAGGCUAUAGCCCACCCGUUUUUUGGCCAUUUUUCAGCUGGGGGGUUUUGGCACCACGACCUUCGGGCUCUUAUUUUUGGGCGCGGCUUUGUCCGCGGCUUAUUUUUAGCACCCCGAGGCCCCUCGCAAAGUCUCGCCCCAUUCCGAGUCCGGCGGACGAACUUCGCCCGCGCCACCCACCAACGCUAUAGCCCACCCGUUUUUUGGCCAUUUUUCCGCUGGGGGGUUUUGGCGCCACGACCUUCGGGCGCUUAUUUUUGGGCGCGGCUUUGCCCGCGGCUUAUUUUUGGCACCCCGAGCCCCCUCGUAAAGUCCGCCCCAUUCCGAGUCCGGCGGACGAACUUCGCCCGCGCCCCCCACCAAGGCUAUAGCCCACCCGUUUUUUGGCCAUUUUUCAGCUGGGGGGUUUUGGCACCACGACCUUCGGGCUCUUAUUUUUGGGCGCGGCUUUGCCCGCGGCUUAUUUUUGGCACCCCGAGGCCCCUCGCAAAGUCUCGCCCCAUUCCGAGUCCGGCGGACGAACUUCGCCCGCGCCACCCACCAUCGCUAUAGCCCACCCGUUUUUUGGCCAUUUUUCCGCUGGGGGGUUUUGGCACCACGACCUUCGGGCGCUUAUUUUUGGGCGCGGCUUUGCCCGCGGCUUAUUUUUGGCACCCCGAGCCCCCUCGUAAAGUCCGCCCCAUUCCGAGUCCGGCGGACGAACUUCGCCCGCACCCCCCACCAAGGCUGUAGCCCACCCGUUUUUUGGCCAUUUUUCCGCUGGGGGGUUUUGGAACUACGACCUUCGGGCGCUUAUUUUUGGGCGCGGCUUUGCCCGCGGCUUAUUUUUGGCACCCCGAGGCCCCUCGUAAAGUCCGCCCCAUGCCGAGUCCGGCGGACGAACUUCGCCAGCGCCCCCCACCAAGGCUAUAGCCCACCCGUUUUUUGGCCAUUUUUCCGCUGGGGGUUUUGGCACCACGACCUUCGGGCGCUUAUUUUUCGGUGCGGCUUUGCCCGCGGCUUAUUUUUGGUACCCCGAGGCCCCUCGUAAAGUCUCGCCCCAUUCCGAGUCCGGCGGACGAACUUCGCCCGCGCCCCCCACCAAGGCUAUAGCCCACCCGUUUUUGGCCAUUUCCGCUGGGGGGUUUUGGAACUACGACCUUCGGGCGCUUAUUUUUGGGCGCGGCUUUGCCCGCGGCUUAUUUUUGGCACCCCAAGGCCCCUCGUAAAGUCUGCCCCAUUCCGAGCCCGGCGGACGAACUUCGCACGCGCCCCCCACCAAGGCUAUAGCCCACCCGUUUUUUGGACAUGUUUCCGCUGGGGGUUUUGGCACCACGACCUUUGGGCGCUUAUUUUUCGGCGCGGCUCUGCCCGCGGCUUAUUUUUGGCACCCC